AGGUUUUAUGUCGGAGAGUGCAGCACUGUGGACGUCUGGUUCUGGCUCUAAGUUCUUAAUGGGAUCUGGAGCAAAGUUAAUUGUGCAGCCCAAGAAAGUAGAAGAUCCUGUCUAUUACAAAUUUGACAAUUCGUGUUUGGCGACCGACUUCACAAACUAUACUGCUGUGAAAUUCGUAAACGCUACACCAGUGCGAUAUGCAGAACGGAGUUACUACAGCAGCUUCACCUUUAAUCAUUCAGAAGAAUGCGAGGAGAAAGCCUGUCAGCAAGGAUCAUCCAGUGGAAAUAAUAAAUUUGAAUCAGGUAAGUGUGCUUUUAUUUGCACAUUUAUAGUCUGCUGUGCAUUUCAUUUCAUUUGCAGUCUAUUACUACUAGUCUUUUACUUGAACAGCAACAUCCAGCACUGUCAAACAUUGACUACACUCAAAUAG
rnacentral:lncRNA from 1 species